rnacentral:rRNA from 1 species
CCUACGGGAGGCAGCAGUGGGGAAUAUUGCGCAAUGGGCGAAAGCCUGACGCAGCGACGCCGCGUGAGGGAUGAAGGUCUUCGGAUCGUUAACCUCUGUCAGCAGGGAAGAACGGUCACUGUGCUAAUCAGCAGUGAAUUGACGGUACCUGCAAAGGACGCACCGGCUAACUCCGUGCCAGCAGCCGCGGUAAUACGGAGGGUGCGAGCGUUAAUCGGAAUUACUGGGCGUAAAGCGCGCGUAGGCGGUAUGUCAAGUCAAGGGUGAAAGCCCCGCGCUCAACGUGGGAACUGCCUUUGAAACUGGCAAACUUGAGUGUGUGAGAGGAUGGUGGAAUUCCAGGUGUAGGGGUGAAAUCCGUAGAUAUCUGGAGGAACAUCAGUGGCGAAGGCGACUAUCUGGCACAUAACUGACGCUGAGGAGCGAAAGCGUGGGUAGCAAACAGGAUUAGAUACCCUAGUAGUC